AAGAUCAUACUUCAUAGGAUCAUUUCUAUAGUAUGAUUAGCAAGUGUGAAAAGAAUUACGUUACCUCGU
rnacentral:snoRNA from 1 species